GUCAGUCACAGCUCUGAAAACAGUAAGAAAAAUAAAGGCAAGUUCAGUACUCCAAAGUCAAAACCUCAUUCAGAAGCUGAUAAGAAGUCUUUGGGUAAUGGGCAAACAGAACAGAACACUAUUUAAAAAAUACAGAACCUUGGAGAAGAAGGGAAUGUGCCCAUCUUAGUUGCUCAGAGGGUAUUUAAGAGUUAACCACAUUGCUAUGGGCCUGGAGUCACAUGCCAGUCAGACCAGGUGGGGAGGCGAUGGCCUAGUGGUAUC